GGGUGUGAUCAUACCAGCACUAGUGCACCAGAUCUCAUCAAAACUCCGUAGUUAAGUGUACUUGGGCGAGAGUAGUACUAGGAUGGGUGACCCCCGGGGAAGUCCUUGUGUCGUACCCU